rnacentral:rRNA from 1 species
GACGAACGCUGGCGGCGUGCCUAAUACAUGCAAGUCGAGCGCAGGGAGGACGGUGGAGUAAGAGGUGGUAAAACGCCUAUAAGACCGGGAUAACGUCGGGUAACCGGAGCUAAAGCGGAUGUUUAUAGGUGGCUGAUCGCUGCAUUAGCGAGGUGGUAAGGUAACGGCUGACAAAGGCCACGAUGCAUAGCCGACCUGAGAGGGUGAUCGGCCACACUGGGACGGAUACACGGUCCAGACUCCUACGGGAGGCAGCAGUAGGGAAUCUUCCGCAAUGGGCGAAAGCCUGACCGAGCAACGCCGCGUGAGUGAUGAAGGUCUUCGGAUCGUAAAACUCUGUUAUUAGGGAAGCGGUAUCUAACCAGAAAGCCACGGCUAACUACGUGCCAGCCGCCGCGGUAAUAC